AUAAAGUACUUAAAAUAAAAAGGGAGUGGGAUUUUCAAAAUCUCAGCUGAAGCAUUUGAAUUUUUUUUUUUUCAAACUUGGGCAAUGUUAACUUUAAUGUUUUAAACGUACACUCCCUACUAACCUUAGUCAUUUUUGUGAAAAUGCUACGAAUGGUGCUAGAUUCCAGUUAUUUAGUUCCUGCAAUAGGGAGAACAAGUGCUUGGAUAGUUUUUCAUAUAUCUUGCAUAAUGUAAUUUAGUGGAAGGAGAUAUAAUUGCGGAGUUAUACUGAAAGAGUCCAGUGCUCUUAAUAAAUGUUUUUUGCACUAAAAUGUUGAUUACAAGCACACUAGAAUAUCCUAUUUCAUCAAAAAAUAUAGAUGAUCAACCCAGCAUGUUAAACAAAAAAAAUCUGCUACAAAGGUGCUGGGUAACAGUUUUAAGUUUUACAUAGUUUAACGAGCUUUAAAUGCAUUGCAGUUUGCUCAGGCACUCACCGUUUUAAUGAAGCUACAAACAAGUUCUUUAUAAAAAUUUGCUGAAUUUAUAUUACAAGAUGCUAUAUAUAUUAUUUGGGAAUUUUUUUUGCCAUACUGCAUAUACCCUUCAUUAGUAUUCUUUUAUAUGUGUA